rnacentral:lncRNA from 1 species
UGCUCUGCUUGUACAGUGUAAAUAAUCAGAACAUAUGAGAAAGGUACCCUACAGAGAAGAAUCUGAUAAAAAUUAUUGAUAUAUUAUAAAUGUUGCUGUUGAGCUGAUGUAGAUAAACUAAAUGUUGUGGUUUGAGUAUUAUUUUAAUUUGUUAAGGUUUUUCUUUUUCCCCUUAUACUGGUGUGUUGAACUGAUUUUGCCUCUUUGCUGCAAAAGGGAAAUGGAAAGUCUUAUUGAAAGCCUUUGGAUGUUUUCAUACUCUUAAAAAGAAUGUAAGUACAUACUAAUCAUAUGUGAUAUGUGAGGGUUUUGAAGGAGAGUAUAGAGAGCAGAGACUGGCAGGAUCUUCCAAUGAAAGUAAAAAACAGAAUGUGCUAAUUAAAAUUAUACUCUGUUAAGUGAUUUUUCCUGCCAGAGGCAAAGAUGGCCUGAUGCACGUGACCAUUUCCUUCAGAGCAACUGUCAUUCAGUUACAUAGGAGUAUACGCAGUGCUGAUGUUUCAGACGCCUGUGAAAGGAACAUAGGACGAAUUUCCUUAUAGAUGUCAGAUCACUGACAAAAAAAAAAAAAAAAAAAAAGAAAGAAAGAAAGAAGAAGAAGAAAACAGCUGGCCUCUUGAACCCACACUAGCAGAUACUGUCUAUCUGGAAAGGCGAGCCUGAGGCCUCAGGCCCUUCACAUCACAUCUUUGCUGGAAGAGGGGCCAAAUUAUGGUCAGCACCCCUUACCCCCAAGGGUGCUCUCACAGAGGAGCUUUGAUUUUUAAUGAGAAGUCCUUUCCCCAAGGCUGAGCAUUGCAGCACGAAACCUGUGUGGCAGAGCCAAGCUGUAGGUGCUUGCUGUCUGCUGGCUGGAAGUGUACAGCUCAGUGGCCACACGCAAGGGCAGGUGGGCAGAUGCACGAGGUGGGACACUGAUUACUGCUUAGCCAGUGACAGCCUGGCAUCAGGAACUAAAGCCUUGCUCAGAUGUGAUUUUUAUAAGCACUCGUUUUUCAGGAAGCAAAGGUGAUAUGCCAAAUAGCUGUAUAAUGUCAAAACAGAGACUUCCUGAACACUUUGAGGUUUUCCACUCAGAAAAAAAAGGAAGUUAUCAAAAUAGGAAGCUGUUGAGGGUGCAUGCAGACUCUUGCUAUGUCACAUCCAGCAAGUGUGGUAUGUGGCUUUCAUAAUCUAUUUACGUUUACUCAUUCCUUUCAGUAUCUCAAGGUAUAGAAUCAGAGAUACCACAGUCACAAGGACCUUUUUAACCUGUAAAAUUGUGUGAUGAUGCUUACUUACCAUAUGGAAAUACGGACUAGGAAUCUGGCCCCACCUCACCAGACAGGAAUUUCAAGUGAUUCCUCUCUCAUAGUCAGUGUCAUGAUGUCUCUGUGAACCCCUCCUGUCAUUGCAUCACUGGUUGCCACUAGUGGGUGGCAAAAAAAAAAAGAAAAAAAAAAGAAAAGAAAAAAAGAC